GACGGGCACUUCCUGUGUCAUGGCGUACAGUGGGCUUCGUCGGUGUUGCUGAGAGUCCCUGCUGACUAGACCGGGUUUUGUGUAAUAUCGCCUGGCUGCGCGCUGCAUUCAGAGGCUCCCGGGAGACCCUAAAGCCACACAAUGGUGUCCAGGCUGACAAGCAGCUGGUGGAGCCUGGGAGACGCUUGGUGCAGCCUGGGGCAUCCCUGAAACUCUCCUGCAUGACUUCAGGAUUCACUGUCAGAAGCUGUGCCAUAAGCUGGAUCCAAAGGCUCCAGGGAAGGGCCUAGAGUGGAUCUCAUACAUAGGUGCUGGUGGUAGCACAUACUAUGCAGACUCUGUGAAGGGCUGAUUCACCAUCUCCAGAGACAACGGCAAGAACAUGCUGUAUCCAUAGAUGAGCAGCCUGAAACGGAGGAACACAGCCCUGUAUUAGUGUCCAUGACACACAGUGAAGGAACAUUUGUGUGAGCCCAGAAAAAACCUCCUGGAAGCAGCGCUUAUGCCCAGCAGAAGUCGCUGUAAUGUGAGAGAAUCACGUGCAGGCCCCAGAAGCAGGAGCUGAGAAGAAAGCAGGGGAGGGAGCUCUUCCUGGGGACUCUAGGGUUCUCUUCUGUUUUAACGUUUUAGGUCCUGAACCAACCCACAUUGAAGUACCAAAGUUCAAGGAAAAAUUCUCUGUUAAAUGUAAUUGCAUGAGUACAUAAGGAACAAUGAUUUUUUUCAUUUUCUGUGUAUGAAUUGUACUUAUGGGUAAACAAAACUUUCACACAUCUCAAAGUAACUUGUGCAUUUUGUGAAGUUAAUUUUGUUUUCAGUGUCAAAUCCUCACCAUCUAAAGUGGGUCUGUUGGUUUAGUUUGGGUAAUGAAGAACUGUCUCACGCAGUAAUAAAUGCUUCAAAUUAGGAAAUUAAAUCCUUCUCAUCUCUGUCUGUGGGGUCUCAGAUCACACAGCUCCCUCCCCUCUUUGGCCACCUCAGGAGACCUGGUCCCCAGGCUCAGCCCCAGCACCAUGAGGAACCCUGAGCUCAGGGGAGCAGUGAGAGGGGCAGCCUGACUGGACUCAGGGCAGUGUCUGUGGACCUAGAUGUGCUCUUUCUAGACUAGAGGGCUGAGUAGGACUUGGUCCUGUGCCUUUCUUUUGCACCUUACAAAUUAAAAAAUUUAUAAAAUACAGCAAAACCAUCCUCUAUCUUAAUCUCCAUUUCUCUCUCUCUCUCUUAACUUUUUAGGUUUUUUUUUAUUUUAUUUUAAAAAAGAAAAAUAGAACAUUAAAGUGAAACAAAACAAAACUGUGUUAGGACACUGGGGAAUUCACUGUUGUUACUGUAUUAGAUAAUCUCAUCCUCUAAUUAGUUGCUCAGGCUUUGUCCCAGGCUUGCAGAGUCGAUCAAAUAAUUUAAAUGUUGCUGCCUUAAUUUAGUUAGUAACAUCUUAGCCUGCACUCCGUCCCAUUGCUUAUAUGUGUGUUACUGGUGGGAGAAGGGGGAGGCUGCACAGCUUCCUUGCUGCUUCUCCCCACCUGACAGGGCCUUGCCAACACAUGUGGUGUGGCGACUGCAAUGCUUCCGGCUAUUUUCCUCAUCCAACCACACCACCAACCUGGCUCUCUUAUUCUUGCUGGGUUCCUGAAUUCUCCCUCUCUGGAUUUCAACCCACAGGUCCAACCCUUCCCAUGUCUGUGGUCCCCACCUCUGUCAUCCUGCUCUCCCUCAUGUUGCUGUAGCCCAGGGUAUGGACAGAUGAGAAGCAGAGGGUCUUCCUCUGCUGCUCACGGCUUCUCCGUUCUCCUGUUAGUGUUGUCUCUUUUUACUCAUUUCUCAGUUUUCAGUCUAUUGGGAAAACAAUGGAAAAUAAAUGAGGUGAAAAUCUCUAUUCUCACAA